CCCCACAUUGGUACUGAGACACGGACCAAACUCCUACGGGAGGCAGCAGUGAGGAAUAUUGGUCAAUGGCCGAGAGGCUGAACCAGCCAAGUCGCGUGAAGGAAGAAGGAUCUAUGGUUUGUAAACUUCUUUUAUAGGGGAAUAAAGUGGAGGACGUGUCCUUUUUUGUAUGUACCCUAUGAAUAAGCAUCGGCUAACUCCGUGCCAGCAGCCGCGGUAAUACGGAGGAUGCGAGCGUUAUCCGGAUUUAUUGGGUUUAAAGGGUGCGUAGGUGGUGAUUUAAGUCAGCGGUGAAAGUUUGUGGCUCAACCAUAAAAUUGCCGUUGAAACUGGGUUACUUGAGUGUGUUUGAGGUAGGCGGAAUGCGUGGUGUAGCGGUGAAAUGCAUAGAUAUCACGCAGAACUCCGAUUGCGAAGGCAGCUUACUAAACCAUAACUGACACUGAAGCACGAAAGCGUGGGGAUCAAACAGGAUUAGAUACCCUGGUAGUCCACGCAGUAAACGAUGAUUACUAGGAGUUUGCGAUACAAUGUAAGCUCUACAGCGAAAGCCAACGGUGAAACUCAAAGGAAUUGACGGGGGCCCGCACAAGCGGAGGAACAUGUGGUUUAAUUCGAUGAUACGCGAGGAACCUUACCCGGGUUUGAACGUAGUUUGACCGGAGUGGAAACACUCUUUCUAGCAAUAGCAAAUUACGAGGUGCUGCAUGGUUGUCGUCAGCUCGUGCCGUGAGGUGUCGGCUUAAGUGCCAUAACGAGCGCAACCCUUAUCACUAGUUACUAACAGGUGAAGCUGAGGACUCUGGUGAGACUGCCAGCGUAAGCUGUGAGGAAGGUGGGGAUGACGUCAAAUCAGCACGGCCCUUACAUCCGGGGCGACACACGUGUUACAAUGGCAUGGACAAAGGGCAGCUACCUGGUGACAGGAUGCUAAUCUCCAAACCAUGUCUCAGUUCGGAUCGGAGUCUGCAACUCGACUCCGUGAAGCUGGAUUCGCUAGUAAUCGCGCAUCAGCCAUGGCGCGGUGAAUACGUUCCCGGGCCUUGUACACACCGCCCGUCAAGCCAUGGGAG
rnacentral:rRNA from 1 species